UACGUAGGGGUCCGAGCGUUUGUCCGGAAUUAUUGGGGCGUAAAGGCUCGUAGGCGGUCUGUUGCGUCGGGGAGUGAAAACUUAACAGCUUAACUGUGAGCGUGCUUUCGAUACGGGCAGACUUGAGGCAUUCGAGGGGAGAACGGAAUUCCUGGUGUAGCGGUGAAAUGCGCAGAUAUCGGGAGGACACCGGAUGGCGAAGGC
rnacentral:rRNA from 1 species